UUUGUACUGAGCAUGCUAUGAGUUAUAGGAUCUAGGUUUAGGAUUCGUAUUGUCGGAUCGUUGGCGCUAACCAUUAAUCCCAAAAACUCGAGCUGUUAGAAAUAUGCAACCAAUUCACUUAAAGCGUACAGAUACAGCACCCACGGGUCUCAAUUGUGACUCGGCCUACCCAGCCUCACGCCACUUCGAACAUGACUCGGCCUAAUCCAGCCUCACACCAUUUCAAAUAUGACUCGGCCCACAUGGAUCUUCCGCCAUUUUGAAUAUGACUCGGCCCACAUGGCCUCUCACCACAGGGCAGGAUGCUGGCCCAUUUAAGCCAACAAUCCCCCCUCCAGCAUCUGGACACAUUUGCAGCAUGCCGGAAUCGAACCCUUGACCACGGUCGGAUCGUUGGCACUAACCAUUAAUCCCGAAAGCUCGAGUUGUUAGAAAUACACAACCAAUUCACUUAAAGCGUACAGAUACAGCGCCCACGGGUCUCAAUUGUGACUCAGCCCACCCAGUUUCACCCCACUUCGAACAUGACUCGGCCCAACCCAACCUCACGUCAUUUCGAAUAUGACUCGGCCCACAUGGCCUCCCAUCACAGGGCAGGAUGCUGGCCUAUUUAAGCCAACACGUAGGACAUUUGUGGGCGACCUUUGACAGUUAACAUUCUUCAUGAUAUAGGUCGUAGGAGGCCAGUUGAUAUUAGGAAGUUGAGGUGAGAUCUUUUGGAUGCUCUAGUCUUAUGUUGAGACAGUUGAGCCGUUUCGUGUGAUU
rnacentral:lncRNA from 1 species